UGGACCUGGGAGACAGCUGAGGUCUGCAGUCCUGGCCUCCAGUCGGUGCCAGAGACUGCAGUUGGCACUGCCCGCUCAUGGCUGAAGCUCAGCAUCGACCACUGUCGGGUCCCCUGGCUCUCCCCAGCCAGCGGGAGGACAUGGGAGUCUAAGGCAAGGCCCUGAGGCCAAGGAUGGCGCCGGAUGGACAGUGCCGGUGGCGCCGGGACCGGUUUUGUCUCAGAGAGGACUUCCGAGACUUCUGAGCACUGGUGCCUGUUCUGUGAUGCUGUCUCCUCCACCCAUAGGUGCUGUGGACUCAACCGUGGACAAGCCCAGUAAGAUCCCACCCUGAGAGCUGGCCGCAGAGGACUUGUGUCCAGAGCGCAUCAGGAACAUCAUCCAAGUGGCCUGGCAUGCAGUGCGUGCAUCCGUGAUGCCUGGCUUCUCCCCUCCUGUUGUGUCCCUGUCGUCAGACCAGCAACAGCCCCUUGGUGACCUGUUGCGAUCAGCGUUUCCCCGCUGUCUCCACAGCAGUAACUGCACGGACCGACCCCAGGGUCCGGUGUGGGAACCCUGAUUCUACUGCGGCGGCUCUCAGAGGCAGGGGCUUGGAAGGUCACCAGGUAGAGCCCCGCUUGUGGGAUUAGUGCCCUUAGGGAAGACCCCAAGACUUGCCGCGCUCCAUGUGAGGAGGCCAGGAAAGGGCAGGGGUUAGCAGGCGAGAAGUGGGCCCUGCCCAGCAGCUGCAUUUCCCGCACCUCAUCCUGGGAGCAGCAGCAGGUGGGAGGAGGCGGGGCGAACCUCUCCCCCACCAAGGGCCCAGGUGUGGGAGGCAGCACGGGCCUCGCGUGUGGGAGCACUGUGGCUCAGUGGUGCUGUUGUGUGGACCACACUUUGCUUACUGGGUCAUCAGCGGACACCUGCGUUGUUUCCACUUUGCUUCUCUGUGCAGUGCUGGGUGUGGGACAGGGUGAUGAUACCCCAAGGCCCUUCCACUUCCGGGCAGCAGCGAAUCAUGAUGCUGUGAACACCUGUGUACAAGUGUCUGUGUAGAUUGGCCUGUAAGUCUUAGGUACUUUCCAGUACACACGCUGUGUUCUCACAAUUAAAAUGUGUAAUUAAACUGGGCGUGGUGGCGCACACCUGUAUCCCAGCACUCACGAGGCUGAGGCAGGUGGAUCGCCUCAAGUUUGAAGUCACCUUGGGCUACACCACGAGCUCAAGGCCAGCCUGAACUACCUAGUGAGACCCUG
rnacentral:lncRNA from 1 species